UACGUAGGGAGCAAGCGUUGUCCGGAAUCAUUGGGCGUAAAGCGCGCGUAGGCGGCCCCGUAAGUCCGCUGUGAAAGUCAAAGGCUCAACCUUUGAAAGCCGGUGGAUACUGUGGGGCUAGAGUACGGAAGAGGCGAGUGGAAUUCCUGGUGUAGCGGUGGAAUGCGCAGAGUAUCAGGAGGAACACCAAUAGCGAAGGCAGCUCGCUGGGACGUUACUGACGCUGAGGCGCGAAAGCGUGGGGAGCGAACAGG
rnacentral:rRNA from 1 species